CAACCCUCGCAGCCCCUCUGGGCAGCGGUGUUGGGGACCGGCACAACUGGCGCGCCCCCGUGGCGCCCGGCGCCGCCCCCGAAAUACAGUGGCGGUCCCGCCGCAGCCUCCCUUGCGUAGUAGCACACCUCGCACCGGAGCGCGGCGCGGCCAUGCCGUAAAACCCCCGACUUUCUGA
rnacentral:misc_RNA from 1 species